rnacentral:rRNA from 1 species
UACGGAGGGUGCGAAGCAGUUAUUACGGAAUUACUGGGGCGUAAAGCGCACGCAGGUGGCUGAGUCAGUCGAUUGUGAAAGCCCUGGGCUUAACCUGGGAAUUGCAGUCGAUACUACUCAGCUAGAGUAUGGGAGAGGGCAGUGGAAUUCCCGGUGUAGCGGUGAAAUGCGUAGAUAUCGGGAGGAACAUCAGUGGCGAAGCGGCUGCCUGGCCCAAUACUGACACUCAGGUGCGACAGCGUGGGGAGCAAACAGG